GAAUUCACUAGUGAUUUCCGGUUGAUCCUGCCAGACCCGACUGCUAUCAGAGUGGGACUAAGCCAUGCGAGUCGACGUAGCAAUACGUGGCGAACGGCUCAGUAACACGUAGUCAACAUGCCCAGGGGACGUGGAUAAUCUCGGGAAACUGAGAAUAAACCACGAUAGGUCACGAUUUCUGGAAUGGAUCUUGGCUUAAAUCUACAUGGCCCCUGGAUUGGACUGCGGCCGAUCAGGCUGUUGGUGAGGUAAUGGCCCACCAAACCUAUAACCGGUACGGGCUCUGAGAGGAGGAGCCCGGAGAUGGGCACUGAGACAAGGGCCCAGGCCCUAUGGGGCGCAGCAGGCGCGAAACCUCUGCAAUAGGCGGGAGCCUGACAGGGUUACUCUGAGUGAUUUCCGCUAAGGGGAUCUUUUGGCACCUCUAAAAAUGGUGCAGAAUAAGGGGUGGGCAAGUCUGGUGUCAGCCGCCGCGGUAAUACCAGCACCCCGAGUGGUCGGGACGAUUAUUGGGCCUAAAGCAUCCGUAGCCGGUUCUGCAAGUCUUCCGUUAAAUCCAGCCGCUCAACGGAUGGGCCGCGGAGGAUACUAUAGGACUAGGAGGCGGGAGAGGCAAGCGGUACUCAGUGGGUAGGGGUAAAAUCCUUUGAUCCAUUGAAGACCACCAGUGGCGAAGGCGGCUUGCCAGAACGCGCUCGACGGUGAGGGAUGAAAGCUGGGGGAGCAAACCGGAUUAGAUACCCGGGUAGUCCCAGCUGUAAACGAUGCAGACUCGGUGAUGGGCUAGCCUUGUGCCAGCCCAGUGCCGCAGGGAAGCCGUUAAGUCUGCCGCCUGGGGAGUACGGUCGCAAGACUGAAACUUAAAGGAAUUGGCGGGGGAGCACCACAAGGGGUGAAGCCUGCGGUUCAAUUGGAUUCAACGCCGGGAAUCGAAUUCCCGCGGCC
rnacentral:rRNA from 1 species